CUCAGAUCCACUAGCCUGGCGUGAGAAGGCAGAAUCGUGACACACCCCUUCCAACUCCCAGAGUUAUCGACCUCGGCCAAUAAGGAGUCAGUUUGUUAAAUGGGUGUAAAGUGGUCUCCCCAUGGAUGGAAGGGUCUUCCUCACAUUUCCGAAGAGAGUAAAUGUAGCGGUUGAAUUAGUAACCAAGCUAAAUUAACUUUAACAAAUUACAAC